CCCUUAUACAGAGAAGCGAUUAUCUGUUACUUUGUUGAUUAUUUUAUUUAUUGUUUUUCUCUUUUGUUUUUUGCAAGUUUUUGUCCAAUUUGUCUCCCCUCCAAAACAGAAGGUGAAGUUUUGUAUUGAAAGAACAGAACCCAAUUGUUGUAGUGUGGACAGCCUCGGCUCCUGGAGAAGACUUGGGCUACAAUGAUGGGGGGGUCCCGAUCCCUGUCCUGGGUGCAGAAAGGUGAAGGACAAUAAGGUUUGGGGAUGGUGGCUGGGGCUGACUUACACUGGGAUUGUCUGACUUGCCCUAGAGGGCGGAGCCCCGGAAUAUACCUCAAGCAAGAACCUUCCCUCAAUACCAAGGCAUCCCUCAAACAGAUGGGACCUUCACCAGCUACAAGGACAGGCACUGCCAGCCAGACCCCUGAUCCACUUUCUUACCCCCCACCUUGAAGACAUGGGAUUUCUUAAUUCAUCCAUUUUCCCAUGCGCAAUGCAAGGAGCGGCCGGGAGAGGGCGAUAUAGACCAGGAAUCAUUGACAUCUGAUGGAGCGUGCUGCGUAUUGAGCAAUGCGGAAAUACAAUCGUGAAAAAAAAAAAAAAAAGACCUAACAUUGUCUUUGUAUCGUUGGAACAAAACAAAAUGGACUGUACAUGACUGGAAAAAAACACAUGAGGUGUACCACUAUUUAUUUAUUUAUUUUUCUAUAUAAAAAUCUUAAGCUUGAAUCAAUCCAUCAUGUUUUUAUAUUCUGAUUCUUUUCAGAUUUUUUCAGAUUUUUUUUUAUAAUGCAAACAUAUACCUGUAAUAAGGGAAAAAUAGCAAAACGCAGUGUGACAAAACUGUCAGAAGGAUGCAGAUACCUAAACAAAUUCUCUUUUUAGUGGGAAUCCAUUUUGUAACAAAAGACCGAAAAUCUGCCAGGACAGCUUUUACGCUUGACAGGAAACAAAAAAGUUGCGUGCAGGAUUUCUCUGCCUUGUGGGAUUCUGUGUCAACUGGAUCCAGUGCAGCGUCAGACGUACAUUCUGGGUCCGUCAUUGGCAUCCGCUCAGGCCAGGCAUUUCAUAAAAGCAGAGGGAACUUAUUUUAGGGGAAAAGCGUGAACAUCCCUUAUUUGCUUAUUUAUUUUUAGGAAAAUGUUACUAUCCACAUACUAAAAGUUACAGCUCAAUGUAGGCCAUGUUUACACACCAGUUUUGGAGCCGGCUUUUGAACCGUAAAUGGAUCCAAAAAAAAAGGAUAAAAGACCAAAAGCAAAAACAGCUGGAAAAACUGUGAAUAGAAAAAUGACUGAAAAGAAGGUGGAGAUUAAAGGACAACUGCAGCCAUAACAACUUAUCCCCUAUCUACAUGAUAGAGGAUAAAUGUUUGAUCGCGGGGGUCCGACCGCUGGGACCCCCCGCGAUCUCCCAAACGGGCCCUGGCAUUGCCACUCUGUGAGAGCAGUUAAUGCACGUAGCGUCAACCUCAGUGAGGUCACCGGUACGCCCCCUUCCUGUCCCCUCUCCGCCCC